GACGAACGCUGGCGGCGUGCUUAACACAUGCAAGUCGAGCGGUAAGGCCCUUUCGGGGGUACACGAGCGGCGAACGGGUGAGUAACACGUGGGUGACCUGCCCUCAGCUCUGGGAUAAGCCCUGGGAAACCGGGUCUAAUACUGGAUAUGACUCCAUGACGCAUGUUGUGGGGUGGAAAGCCUUGUGCGGCUGAGGAUGGGCCCGCGGCCUAUCAGCUUGUUGGUGGGGUGANGGCCUACCAAGGCGACGACGGGUAGCCGGCCUGAGAGGGCGACCGGCCACACUGGGACUGAGACACGGCCCAGACUCCUACGGGAGGCAGCAGUGGGGAAUCUUGCGCAAUGGGCGAAAGCCUGACGCAGCGACGCCGCGUGAGGGAUGACGG
rnacentral:rRNA from 1 species